AGAGGGAGAAAGAGAAAGAGAAAGAGAGAGAAAAGCAGACUUCCUGCUGAGCAGGGAGUCCGACUCGGGGCUCUGUCCCAGGACUUAGAGAUCAUGACCUGAGCCAAAGGCAGACACUUAACCCACUGAGCCACCCAGGCACCCUGAAACCAAGGAUACUGAAGCUUCCUGAAUAUGCCCACUUCUCAAGACAUAAGCAACAAACCAAAAGGACUUCAUGUGAAAUUAUUGACUACGCUGUGCCUCUCAGCCUCAAUUAACCCCUAAUUCUAUGCACCUGGGAGCCAAAGCAAACCAUAAGGAGCCAAAGCACUACCCUGAUGAAGCAUCUCUGGAAGGAGGUC